rnacentral:piRNA from 1 species
UCAGCAUUUACAGGGUUAAGGUUACAGC